rnacentral:rRNA from 1 species
UACGUAGGGUGCGAGCGUUGUCCGGAAUUACUGGGCGUAAAGAGCUCGUAGGUGGUUUGUCGCGUUGUUCGUGAAAACUCACAGCUCAACUGUGGGCGUGCGGGCGAUACGGGCAGACUGGAGUACUGCAGGGGAGACUGGAAUUCCUGGUGUAGCGGUGGAAUGCGCAGAUAUCAGGAGGAACACCUAUAGCGAAGGCAGCUCGCUGGUACGACACUGACGCUAAGGCGCGAAAGCGUGGGGAGCGAACAGG